rnacentral:lncRNA from 1 species
GCACCCAGCAUUUUAACUACACUAUGGGAUUCAAACUCAUGUUCUCAUGGUUGUGUAAUGUUGACAUCUCUGUAGCCUCCAGUUGAGAUUUUUUUCCCUUAUCAUAAUUUAUUAAUUCAGCAGUCAUUCUUUUAGCAGCACUUAAAAGUUCUACACCCUAUCUGAGGUCCAGGGAACAUUGCAGAAAAAGUUCAGGGGUGGAAAUAAUAGAGCCAGAGGAUAAGGAGGAAAACUACCUUUCAUCUUCUCCAUAUGACAUAGCCACUGUAGUCACAAACACACCAGGCUGCGGUUCCCUGCACAAGACCUUGGAGAUUCAUAAUGCUGAGCUAGAAAGAGACCCACAGAAGUUUCUUGUAAAGAUCUUGCUCUAGGAAAGCAGUUAUCAACCUGUGGGUCAAGACCUGUUUGGGGAAGCCUUAACGACCUUUUCAACGGGGUCGCCUGAGACCAUCUGCAUAUCAGAUAUUUACAUUGUGAUUCAAAACAGCAAAAUUACAGUUAUGAAGUAGCAACAAAAAUAGUUUUAUGGUUUGGGGUCACCACAACAUGAGGAACUGUAUUAAGGGGGUUGCAGCAUUCAGAUGAGGUUCACAGGUAUUCAUUCUUUUCAUUUUACUAAUAUGGUUCUUGUUUUGAAUAAUAAAAAUUCUUCAAGACCUAGUAGAGUGACACACUGAGUUGGAUUUCAGAUUAAAUAUUAUUUAAUAAUUCAGGUGGCUUGCAGCCUAAGAAACUGGGAAAGGAGAUCCAACAAUUCCCGGUUAAUAGCUUUUAAGACAAUAUGGGCCAAUGACUUGGCUUAGUAAGCUAAGGUACUUAGUGCCAGGCCUGAUGCCCUGAGCUAGAUCCCCAUGAUAGGAAAACAGACUUCUGUAGGACAUCCUCCCACACACAGCCACAUGUAUGCCAUGGCACAUGUGUUCAUAUACAUGCUCACAUAGUAAGUAAAUAAUAAACACAAAAAGCAACUUAUCUGAGAAGUGUAGUCAAUAUGGUCAAAAGUUCCAGCCAUGGAGACUGGAGAGAUCCCUCAGCAGUUAAAAGCACUGAUGGCUCUCCCAGAGAACACAGGUUCAAUUCCCAGCACCUACAUGGUGACUCAAAACCAUCAGUAACUGCAGUUCUAGGGGAUCUCUAUGCAGACACCAGGUAUGUAUGUGGUGCACAUACAGAUAAGCAGGUACAUACACCAUUUUUCAAAUUUAUUUUGGGGAUCAUGAUUAUAUCAUUUCUUCCCCCCACCCUAUUCUUCUAAACCUUUCCAUAUAUCUCUCCUUGACCUCUUUCAAAUUUGUGGCCUUUUCUAUAUUCUUUGAUUAAUUUCUUUCAUCGAUUGUUAUUGUGUAUAUCUUUAGGGUACCUCAUUCAAUAUGAUCGUUUCUAGUUCCAUCC